rnacentral:lncRNA from 1 species
CGGCAAACCUGACCAUGACUCCAUUUUGCUCUUACCGUCCUUUCGGCAGAAACUCAAACAGGAUGUACCCGUGACUAGAACUAUUCAACGCUGAUCUGUCCAAUCAUUUUAAGAUUGUUUUGAUCACCUGGACUGGGAAAUAUUCCAGGCAGCCUCAGAGAAUAACAUCGAUUUAUAUGCUGAUUUGACUCUCCUCACAGCCCUCCUCCUUCACCAGCAGCACCUCUGGACCCUCCUCCUCCUGGAAGAGACAGGUGAUACAGAUUACACAGACAUACACUUCCUCAGAUAAUCUCAGCUUGGAUGUCAGCCCACCACCUCAAGCUCAAUCUCGACAAGACAGAGCUGCCCAUCUUCUGGGGGAAGGCCUGCCUGCUCCAAGACCUCUCCAUCAUGGUUGACAAUUCCAUGGUGUCCCUCUCCCAGAGUGCAAAGAACCUUCAUGUGACCCUUGACAACAC